AAAAGAAAAAAAAAGGGAAAAUUAGGUAUUUUACAUUUUUUCCUAAAUGGGAAAACAAGUGAUCUGGAAAAUAAAAUCUAGGAGAUACUGUCUAAGGAUUAUUGGCCUUCCUGAAAACCAUGAUGAAAAAAAAAAAGACUAUUUUUCAGGAAAUCAGAAUCAGAAGAUAAAAUAGCCAUUGAAAAAAUUCACCAAACAUCUCCUGAAACAGACCCCCAAAAUGAAAACUCCAAGGAAUCUCGUGGCUAAAUUAUAGAACUAUCAGGAAAAAAUAUCACAGCCAGAAAAAAAAUCAAAUAUCGAAGAAGCACAAUAAGGAUUUCCCAGGAACCUAGGAGCUUCCUCCUUAAAGGAUGGAAGGGCCUAGAAUCUGAUAUACUGAAAGGUAAAGGAACUUGGAAUUCAGCUAAACAUAAAUUAACCCUGUAAACUGAGCAUUUUCUUUCAGGGAAGAAGAUAGACAUUCAGUGAAACAGGUGACUUCCAUUUAUUGCUUAUGAAAAGACCUAAACAGAAUUUGGACCUCCUUAUAUUGAAAUCAAGAGAAGCAUAAAAAGCACUAAUUCCAAGGGUUGUCAUGAGAUAAAUUAUUCUGGGAGAAAAGACGGAGCUUAAGGAGAUGUGUGUGUCCUCUUCUCCACCAUCUUGACCGGAAGUCCAAUGACAAAGAAUUUUAAUUUGGUGGGGGGUUAGUAAAUUUAUUUGUUUUUAAUACAUUUUGCUUUUUAUAAAUCUUGUUUGGAGAGAAAAUCAAAGCAAGGGGAAACAACCAUGGAAGACAAAAGAAAAAACCAAGUGAACAGUGUACAUGGAGGUUUACAUUAUAUCUCCUGAGUUCUUUUUCUGAAUACAGAUGGCAUUUUUUUGUCCACAGUCUAUUAGGAUUGCUUUGGAUCACAAAAGCAAUAGGAAGAAACUAUCCUUUCCUAUCUGAUCAUCACAAAUCCUUGCUGUUAGUUUGUACAAAGUAUUCUUCCUAUCUGUGCCACCCACAUUCUUCCCUGUUUCCUACUUCCUUCCCCUUUACUCAUAUGCUGCUUUUUUCGUCCACAGACCUAGGAACCGCUGCUUGGCAGAAGGCUCUGCCAACAGGUCCUAGGGAAUCCUCAGCCAGAGUCGACCUCACCACAUGGCGCCCUGGUGUGGAAAAGAAAAGUAAACUAACUCAACCACCAGGCUAAAUAUCUGUCCUCCACAGAAUUGGCUCCACUGUCAACAGAAGCUUCCACCAAUGGGCCAAGGUACUCCUCUUCCUCAAUUGACCUUGCUUCUUUAUCAUACAUUGGGUAAAAAAAAAGAAA